rnacentral:tRNA from 1 species
GAGAAGUGGUUCUGUGGUUAAGAGCACUGGACUCCUUCCAGAGGUCCUGAGUUCAAUUCCCAGCAACCA